rnacentral:rRNA from 1 species
CAUAGGUGUAGGAGGCGAACCGGGGGAACUGAAACAUCUAAGUACCCCGAGGAAAAGAAAUCAACCGAGAUUCCCUCAGUAGCGGCGAGCGAACGGGGACCAGCCCUUAAGCUGAACAACUGGUAGGAGAAGGCUCUGGAAAGUGCCGCCAUAGUGGGUGAUAGCCCCGUAUCCGAAACCUGAGUUCAGUGAAAUCGAGUAGGUCGGCGCACGAGAAACGUUGACUGAACAUGGGGGGACCAUCCUCCAAGGCUAAAUACUCCUGACUGACCGAUAGUGAACCAGUACCGUGAGGGAAAGGCGAAAAGAACCCCUGUGAGGGGAGUGAAAUAGACCCUGAAACCGUAUGCGUACAAGCAGUCGGAGCGGAUUUAUUCCGUGACGGCGUACCUUUUGUAUAAUGGGUCAGCGACUUAUGUUUAGUGGCGAGGUUAACCGUUUAGGGGAGCCGUAGGGAAACCGAGUCUGAAUAGGGCGAAUCAGUCGCUAGGCAUAGACCCGAAACCGGGCGAUCUAUCCAUGAGCAGGUUGAAGGUUGAGUAACAUCAACUGGAGGACCGAACCCACUGUCGUUGAAAAGCCAGGGGAUGACUUGUGGAUCGGAGUGAAAGGCUAAUCAAGCCCGGAGAUAGCUGGUUCUCCCCGAAAGCUAUUUAGGUAGCGCCUCGGACGAAUACCACAGGGGGUAGAGCACUGUUUCGGCUAGGGGGUCAUCUCGACUUACCAACCCGAUGCAAACUCCGAAUACCUGUGAGUACUAUCCGGGAGACACACGGCGGGUGCUAACGUCCGUCGUGAAGAGGGAAACAACCCAGACCGCCAGCUAAGGUCCCCAAGUACCAGUUAAGUGGGAAACGAUGUGGGAAGGCUCAGACAGCUAGGAGGUUGGCUUAGAAGCAGCCAUCCUUUAAAGAAAGCGUAAUAGCUCACUAGUCGAGUCGGCCUGCGCGGAAGAUGUAACGGGGCUCAAACUGGUCACCGAAGCUGCGGCUGCAUACUCUGUAUGCGGGGUAGGGGAGCGUUCUGUAAGCCUGCGAAGGUGAGUUGAGAAGCUUGCUGGAGGUAUCAGAAGUGCGAAUGCUGACAUGAGUAACGAUAAUGGGAGUGAAAAACUCCCACGCCGGAAGACCAAGG